rnacentral:rRNA from 1 species
AGCUCUGAUUGCUACUGCACCACAUGUGUUUUUCUUUGAAACAAACUUGCUUUGGCGGUGGGCCCAGCCUGCCGCCAGAGGUCUAAACUUACAACCAAUUUUUUAUCAACUUGUCACACCAGAUUAUUACUAAUAGUCAAAACUUUCAACAACGGAUCUCUUGGUUCUCGCAUCGAUGAAGAACGCAGCGAAAUGCGAUACGUAAUAUGAAUUGCAGAUAUUCGUGAAUCAUCGAAUCUUUGAACGCACAUUGCGCCCUCUGGUAUUCCGGAGGGCAUGCCUGUUUGAGCGUCGUUUCUCCCUCAAACCGCUGGGUUUGGUGUUGAGCAAUACGACUUGGGUUUGCUUGAAAGACGGUAGUGGUAAGGCGGGAUCGCUUUGACAAUGGCUUAGGUCUAACCAAAAACAUUGCUUGCGGCGGUAACGUCUACCACGUAUAUCUUCAAACUUUGACCUCAAAUCAGGUAGGACUACCCGCUGAACUUAAGCAUAUCAAUAAGCGGAGGAA